rnacentral:rRNA from 1 species
CAACAACGGAUCUCUUGGCUCUGGCAUCGAUGAAGAACGCAGCGAAAUGCGAUAAGUAAUGUGAAUUGCAGAAUUCAGUGAAUCAUCGAAUCUUUGAACGCACAUUGCGCCCCCGGGUAUUCCUGGGGGCAUGCCUGUUCGAGCGUCAUUU